GAGGGUAUAGCUCAGUGCUAGAGUGUGUGCUUAGCAUGCAUGAGGUCCUGGGUUCAAUCCCCAGUAUCUCCA
rnacentral:tRNA from 1 species